rnacentral:lncRNA from 1 species
CUUUUAUAGUCCUUGGAUUGAACAGUUUUUGAUUUAGGUGACUUUUGCAAUCGUGACAUUACAGGAAAGACUGCUGCUGGAUGAACAAACCCAGAAGUAACGUGAUCAUGAAGGCAAUAAUGGAGCGUUCAACAACACCCGAAGGUUGUUGAGAACCCAACAAACACAGUUUUUUUCUUUUAUAGAUGAGUACAUCCUCCUUAGUCUGGGUGACAAACAACAGAUGUGGCAUGUGAGAAAGGAGUAACCGCCAGCCAGAUAGCAUUGUCUGAUGAUGGCGCCAGAGGAGAUGGCUGCCGUUUCACGGGCUCCCAACCAUUUGUGCUAUUGUGUUUUUUCGCAUUAUUUGUAACGUAUUUUGUACAUAAUGUUUCUGCCACUGUCUCUUAUGACCGAAAAGAGCUUCAGGAUAUCAGGACAGCGAUUACUCACUUCGUACUGGACAAAUACUUUUUCUUUAACAAGUCUGACGCAAAGGAUUUACUACAGACACCCGACAAGGCCCAAAUCCCAUCAGUUGCAUGAAGAAGAGACCGUUAUCGGGGAUGUAUGUCGGGGUGCCUUGUAAGGAUCCGAAGGAGAGCGAGUAAUCCCCCUCUACCAUCAGUCCUAUUAGCCAACGUGCAAUCAUUAGAUAACAAAAUGGAUGAGCUCCGAUCAAGACUAUCUUAUCAACGGGACAUUAAAAACUGUAAUAUCUUAUGUUUCACGAGUCGUGGCUGAACUACGACAUGGAUAACAUACAGCUGGCUGGGUUCUGUCCAUCUGCAAGAUAGAACAUCUGCCUCCGGAUAGUCAGACAGGAAAUGUCCAGAAGAAGGCUGAUGGGCUUUACCUCAGUGUGAAACAGAGGGAAUACUACCUCUACCGUUUGACAGACGGCAACAAGAGGAAGACAAGGCAGCCUUGACAACUGCCAUUGUUCAACUUGACGAGCAGCAGGCAGAGUUUUGGCUCCCCACAGAGGAUAAGCUGCUCAAUACUGACAACUUUGUGUGGCCAUGGGAGAGACUAGGCACCAGCAACAGCCAUCUUGCAAUCAAAAAGGCAAUCUUGGACAGACGGACGUUGCUGAACAGACUGCAGGAGGAAGAGAAGAUCCUGGUGCAGGAGAUGAAGAGGGACUGGGAGAGCCUACAAAGAGCAGUGGGAACUGGAAGCGCUGGGGGAGCCUACAAAGAGCAGUGGGAACUCUGGAGGCUUUGUCCCUGCAUCUGCAAGAUCAGAGCAAUGCAGUGGAGUUAUCAGAGAGAGGGAGGAAUGGCCUUUUCUGCCUCCUGAAGAGAAGAUUGAGUGAACCGACACAAGACCAAGACAACAGCAGGAAUACCUACCACAAGCUGAUUCUGGGAGAAGGGGCUAUUUUUGAUGACUCUGAUGAAGAUGAGAACUCAGAUGAAGAUGUAUGUCCUAUUGCUGAGAGCUCAGAUGAAGAUAGAAGUCCUAUUGCUGAGAGCUCAGAUGAAGAUAUAAGUCCUAUUGCUGAGAGCUUAGAUGACGACUGCUGUGUUUUCUGAAAUCAUACACCACCCCUGCCUCUCUCGCUCGCUCUCUCUCGCUCUCUCGCUCUCUCUCUCUCUCUCUCUCUCUCUCUUGCAGGAGAGAGAGAAGGCUGCCACCACCUCCCUCGGGAGCAGCCUAGUCUCCCGAUGUUGACCCCUGACCCCUCACCUUCUGAACCCUUCCAGGGAAAUGUAAUUUGACUGAUACGCUAGUGGAGAAGGAAUGUCUAAUUUCAGCGCAUUUGUUGCCAUGUUUCCUCUCCUCCGUUUCUUCUGGUCCUAUGGCGACUAUGGCGACAUCAGCAGCAACUCAGAAUGUUGGCUUAGGACUUCUUUACUGAGGAAUGUGGUUGUUGUUAAUGUUAUUUUGUUAUUAUAUAUAUUUUUUGUAUUUUCUAUGCUGCUCGGAUUGUGAUUUUGGUGUAAUUUUGAGUUGCAAAAUAGUCCUUGGUCUCAAUUGGACUGCUUAAAUAAAUAAAGUAAAAGUCUUAAUAAAUAAAUCAAUAACAGGUCUGUACAUAGUAUGAAUAAAUUAUUUUGAUGUAAUAAAAAGUGUAAUACAUUGCUGCCCCUUUCAGCAUUGUAAGUACAUCACCUAUCUGAAAUGUGACUUGCCAAAUCUAACAGUAGCCUAUCAAUCGUUUUUAUGUUUGACUUUAAAUCAGUUAACGGUGUAUCAAUGAAAAUCUGAUAUUGAGUGGAAUGUACUGCUGCCCAACCCUUAUACUUCAGCAGUGCAUCGUACCCUACACCAUAGUUUCAAAUGGUGGGACAUAGGGGCUAUUUCCAUGGGUCCUAUUGAAGCUCCCGAG